CGUCAUAUGGCAUGUUCCCUGGGUCUGUCUCCCCUCUUCCCGAGGACGUCAGUCGUACAGGAUUAUGUAUGACCUCAUCCUGCCCUAGUACCUCUGCAACCACCCCCUUUCCACACCAGAUCACACUUGGCCAUUCUGGGAGUUAGAACUGCACCGUAUCUUUUUCUGGAGGGACUCGACGCACCCCACCGCGACAUUGGAAGAGAUGAAGGAUCCGCAGUGGAGAGGACAAAGGGGGAAGAACACGGCUUAACACUGAAACUAGGACUCCGAGUGUCUCUAACCGGUCAUCUCCGAAGUGUGUACGUAUCAGGCAGAGCAAUUCACUCCUGCCCCUCUCUGCUGGGUGUUCGAGAGACUCCCAUGUACAGCAAAACAGGAGCCCUCCCAUCGACAGGAUCCACCUUCCUUAAAAAGUGGUUUAGAGCAUCUUGUUGAAGCUCGUCUUGUCUUCUGGGCCCCACUCCCUGGCCUUCUACACACUGCACCCAACAACUCAUCGGUAUAUUUUUUCCAAACAAGGUAUGAAGAAUUCCUCUAAGGAAUUCCAGUGAACAAAACUUCCUGUAUGUGCUACAUAAGAAACUGGGAGAAGAGAGGCCACGUUUCUGGGAACACGAUGAGGAGUUCAGAUAGUUUACGAAAAGUCGAGAAGCAGUGGUCAUGUACUUGGGAAUCGUGAUGCUCGUGGGAAGAGGCACCUCUCCAACAUCGAUAGGUGUGGGGUUAAGAGAAGGGGCUCUGAGAUCACAGCGAGAGGCUAACAUGAGUGGCGAGGGGCAACCAAGGAGUCCCACCCCAAAAGCUGCAGCAUGGGACCCGUGGGACUGGUAGUGCCGGGCAUCUGGUGGCCAGGGGAGAAUGUGAACCAUCACCGCAGAGAACGUGGGACCUCAGAGAACGAAGCAAGGGAAAUGAAGGACACAGGAGCUCCUGCUGCAUCAUCCAGUAGAGCCAGUGAUUAUUUUUAUAUCUUUGUUAUUGUAAGAGCCCUUCCGCGGCCCUUUUAGGAUCCAGGCUGGCUGAGGAGGGAAGCCCGAGUUAUACACACAAGGCGAAAGGCAAGCAUUCUCGAUCUCUCUCUCCUCAUCUGUCUGUCCGUCUUGUAUAGCACAUGGUUCUGCUUUUGAUGCUGAUGGCUGUCGUCUCACUUCUUUGGGGUUUUAAUACUAAUCAGAAGCAUUACAAGAGAGAACAGACCUAGAUUUUAAUCAGUUCUCCACCACUACCGUCUCUGUAGCUUUGCCAACCUGAUUCACUCAGUUUGCCCAUCUGUAAAUUGGAAAUAAUGAUAUCCAUCUCACAGAGUUCUUGGGGGAAGGAAAGUAAACGGUGUGUGGAAAGGGAUGGGCCUCUGUUCUGUCUGGGAGACGCCACGAAAAGCAAAUUUCCUCUUCCUCCGACUUUUUAUGCCAGCCGAGCCCGAGGUUACCGGUUAUAGCCUUUUCAUGCUCGAUAAGGAAGACAUUGGAGAUGUGAGGGUUUAAGUGUCUGUUCUCCUUCACCUAUGAAAGUGGGACUUGUUGUGAAUAGUUUCUCUACUGGAGUAUACAAAGUCACAGAACUAUUUCAAGAGUCUAUUACUCACCAAGAGCUCUCCGGAGAAGCAUUCCUUCAAAGAAACAACCUGCCGAUUCCAGACAACUUGCUACUCUUCCUGGCUCAUGAUGUUUUAGAAGUCAUUUACCAGUUCAUCCUUCUGAAAGAGCAAAGAUUCAGAGCUCCUGACCCUUGGGUACUCUGGGUUUUUCUUUUUACAAACCCAGCAACCAGUGUGGCUCUGCAGGAUGACAGUGUGCGGACAAGGCUGUGUGAAAAGAAGGAGGUUUCCUUCCUAGUCCAGACUGCCCACACCUGGGAAGCCUUAGAUCAAUUCUUCAUCCAGUCAUUGAUUCAUUCAACAAACAUGCAUGGAGUGCGAAACGUGUGACCAGCUGCACAAGCCGUCGGGCAUAUGGU